rnacentral:lncRNA from 1 species
UUUGUGUGCAGAUGGAGACAAGAAGUGCUUUGGGGGGCGUGGUCAGAGGACAACUUUUGGGAGUCUGUUCCCUCCUUCCACCAUGUGGGUCCAUGGGAUUGAGCUCAGUCCUUAGAUUUGACGGGCAUUCAGCAACUGAAGAGGUAUUAAACGCCCGACCUUGGACAUCAGGCUUUGUGGUUUCCUACCACAACUUAUGACAUUCUGGAAGCUUCUAGGAAGAAAGCCCUGUGCUGGAACCUUGCACUGGGUGGCAAUGCCUGCAGGUCUGCAUUUCUUAGACUCUGAAAGCUACAGAAAGCAAAGAGGAGAAUGCGGAACAUCUGUGUGUGAGACUCACGCCUUCUGAUACCAGGUGGGCA